AGGUGAUAUGAACCGUUAUAACCGGCGAUACCCGAAUGGGGAAACCCAGUGUGACUCGUCACACUAUCAUUAACUGAAUCCAUAGGUUAAUGAGGCGAACCGGGGGAACUGAAACAUCUAAGUACCCCGAGGAAAAGAAAUCAACCGAGAUUCCCCCAGUAGCGGCGAGCGAACGGGGAGGAGCCCAGAGCCUGAAUCAGCAUGUGUGUUAGUGGAAGCGUCUGGAAAGGCGCGCGAUACAGGGUGACAGCCCCGUACACAAAAGCGCAUGUGCUGUGAGCUCGAUGAGUAGGGCGGGACACGUGGUAUCCUGUCUGAAUAUGGGGGGACCAUCCUCCAAGGCUAAAUACUCCUGACUGACCGAUAGUGAACCAGUACCGUGAGGGAAAGGCGAAAAGAACCCCGGCGAGGGGAGUGAAAAAGAACCUGAAACCGUGUACGUACAAGCAGUGGGAGCACAGGUUUACCUGUGUGACUGCGUACCUUUUGUAUAAUGGGUC
rnacentral:rRNA from 1 species